rnacentral:misc_RNA from 1 species
UCCGUGUUAACCACGGCAGUCUCUUUAGAGAGCCCAACUUAAUGCUGGCAACUAAAGACAAGGGUUGCGCUCGUUGCGGGACUUAACCCAACAUGUCACCACACGAGCUGACGACAGCCAUGCAGCACCUGUCACUCUGCUGUAUUGCUACAGAAGCCCUAUUUCUAGGGUUGUCAGAGGAUGUCAAAUCCAGGUAAGGUUCUUCGCGUUGCUUCGAAUUAAACCACAUGAUCCACCGCUUGUGCGGGCCCCCGUCAAUUCCUUUGAGUUUUAGUCUUGCGACCGUACUUCCCAGGCGGAGUACUUAUUGCGUUAGCUCCGAUUCGGCGGGGGUCAAGACCCACCAAAUCUAGUACUCAUCGUUUACAGCGUGGACUAC